AAAAGGGAGCGAGAGGAAGAGGAAACCAGUAAUCAAGAAAUGGAUUCUUGCAAUAUCUUCAUAAACCUUUUGUUAACCAUCACACUUUGCUUCUUCACCCUCCCUGCCGGAGCACAAAUUGUCUAUCUGUACACGUAUUGUCCAAACUCAACCACUUACCCAGUAAACAGUAUCUAUGAUAGAAAUCUCAAUUCCCUGCUCUCUUCACUUUCCUCCAAUUCCACGCAAAAGAAUGGAUUCUACAAUACCACCGCUGGUCAAGACCCAUCCAACACGGCCUACGGCCUCUACCUCUGUCGUGGGGAUGUUGCCAUGGACGUCUGCCAAGAUUGUGUAGUGACUGCAAGCAAAGAGAUCGUUCGAAAAUGCCCCAGAAACAACGAAUCCGUCAUAUACUAUGACGAGUGUAUGUUGCGUUAUUCCAACAAAUCUUUCUUCUCUCAAGUGCAGUAUCGUCCCUGGUUACGAAUGUGGAACACCCAGAAUGUAAGUGAGGUAGAGAGAUUCAUGCGGUUGUUGGAGAAAACAAUGAAUGAUACAGCCGCAAGGGCAGCAAAUGAUCAGUCCGGCUCCGGCAAGAAGUUUGCCACCGGAGAAGUGAAUUUCACAAGCUUUCAGUCUCUGUACACACUUGUGCAGUGCACGCCGGAUUUGUCAGCUCAGGCGUGUAAUUCUUGUCUUCAGGAGGCCAUCGCUAAGCUUCCCAGUUGCUGUGAGGGAAAGCAAGGGGGCAGGACUAUAUUCCCUAGCUGUAACGUUAGAUAUGAACUGUACCCGUUUUAUCGAGUUGAGGCGACCGCCCCAGCGCCGUCUCCGGUACCAGUGCUUCUCCCUCCAGCUCCAAGGUCUAGAGGGAAAAGUCAGAUUUCUACGGGAACCAUAAUUGCUAUUGUUGUUCCAACUGUCAUCUCUGUUCUGGCUUUUGCCAUUGGCUGCUGUUUACUAGUAAGAAAAUCACGGAAGAAAUUCAAUACAACUCUAGAAGAUCAAAGUGUUGGGGGUGAUAUUUCAACUAUAGAGUCCUUGCAAUUUGAUUUUGGUGUCAUAGAAGCUGCCACAAACAAGUUUUCUCAAGAUAACAAGUUAGGUGAAGGUGGA
rnacentral:misc_RNA from 1 species